rnacentral:rRNA from 1 species
UAACGACUCUCGGCAACGGAUAUCUCGGCUCUCGCAUCGAUGAAGAACGUAGCGAAAUGCGAUACUUGGUGUGAAUUGCAGAAUAUCCCGUGAACCAUCGAAUCUUUGAACGCAAGUUGCGCCCGAAUCCGUUAGUCCGAGGGCACGUCUGCAUGGGCGUCUAACA